rfam:Candidate division WWE3 bacterium RBG_19FT_COMBO_53_11 rbg_19ft_combo_scaffold_2484, whole genome shotgun sequence.
UCCGGGGUGGUCCAACGGUAAGACCGCGGACUCUGAAUCCGCUAAUCCUGGUUCGAAUCCAGGCCCCGGAA